AGUGAGAUUGCUAGAUCAUAUGGUAGAUCUGUUUUUAAUAUUUGGAGGAACCUCCAUACUCUUUUCCAUAAUGGCUGUACUAAUUUACAUUUCCACCAACAGU
rnacentral:pre_miRNA from 1 species